rnacentral:rRNA from 1 species
GAUGAACGCUGGCGGCGUGCCUAAUACAUGCAAGUCGAGCGAACAGACGAGGAGCUUGCUCCUCUGACGUUAGCGGCGGACGGGUGAGUAACACGUGGAUAACCUACCUAUAAGACUGGGAUAACUUCGGGAAACCGGAGCUAAUACCGGAUAAUAUAUUGAACCGCAUGGUUCAAUAGUGAAAGACGGUUUUGCUGUCACUUAUAGAUGGAUCCGCGCCGCAUUAGCUAGUUGGUAAGGUAACGGCUUACCAAGGCGACGAUGCGUAGCCGACCUGAGAGGGUGAUCGGCCACACGGGAACUGAGACACGGUCCAGACUCCUACGGGAGGCAGCAGUAGGGAAUCUUCCGCAAUGGGCGAAAGCCUGACGGAGCAACGCCGCGUGAGUGAUGAAGGUCUUCGGAUCGUAAAACUCUGUUAUUAGGGAAGAACAAAUGUGUAAGUAACUAUGCACGUCUUGACGGUACCUAAUCAGAAAGCCACGGCUAACUACGUG